UUUUUUUUUUUUUUUUUGCUUUAUUUUUUAGGGCCGCACAUGUGGCACAUGGGGGCUCCCAGGCUAGGGGUCGAAUCGGAGCUAUAGCCACCGGCCUGCACCACAGCCACAACAAUGCAGGAUCCAAGCUGUGUCUGAAACCUACACCACAGCUCAGGGCAACACCAGAUCCUUAACCCACUGAGCAAGGCCAGGGAUUGAACCUGCAUCCCCAUAGAUUCUAGUCAGAUUCGUUUCCACUGAGCCAUGAUGGAAACUCCCAUAAUAACAGUCUUGACAAGAUGUACAUGCAUUGAACCCUCCCAGGACAACCAUCGCUGGAAUGAGUUAGGAAGACAGCUUGGCAGCAUGUUAAACAAGGAUGGAAAGUUCCAGAAGAGCUAAUGUCCCACCUUCACUGCCCCCAAAGAGAAGAUUCUGGCAAGGGAAUUCUCUGUCACCUCCCCUGCUCUUGUCUUUGGAGAAAUGAUGCAUCUUGUUUUACAGGGCUGUUUCCAGGACAAAAGAACUUAUUUAAUUGCCUGCACUUUUUUCUCCUUUUAAUUCUGUUAGUGUAGCCUGCAGCCUAAUAAUAAGUACAGUGUGUCUUUAAUGAAGCCAGUAAAUAUAUACAUAUAUAUAAAAAGAAGUGUCUGAUUACUGGGAAAUUAUAAUGCUCUAGAAAUUCAAGAUGUCGCUUUAUCGUCACCUGCCCGCUGUGGCCCACACUUCCUUGGUAAAGCAUCAUUUCUGUACAUCAGGCCAUUAGUGAUUAACAGGAGGGUGGAGGUGACACCCCAACUUUUAACUCAGUUCAGGCCCGGUGGUGUUUAUUUUGCACUUGAAAUAAAUGGGUGACUCAGGAUUAAUGAAACUUAUGCCUACCAUGAGAUACCACUUCACACCGGUCAGAAUGGCCAUCAUUAGUCAGUCCACAAAUUAACAGAUGCUGGAUGGGGUGUGGACAAAAGGGAACCCUCCUGCACUCUUGGUGGGAAUGUAAGCUGGUACAACACUAUGGAUAAAAGUAUGGAGGUGCCUUAGAAAUCUACACAUAGAACUACCAUAUGACCCAGCAAUCCCACUCUUGGGCAUAUAUCCAGACAAAACUUUCCUUUAAAAAAAAAAUAUGUUCAUUGCAGCACUAUUCACAAUAGCCAAGACAUGGAAACAAACCAAAUGUCCAUCAAUAGAUGAAUGGAUUAGGAAGAUGUGGAAUAUAUACACAAUGGAAUAUUACUCGGACAUAAGAAAGAACAAAAUAAUGCAUUUGCAGCAACAUGAUGGAACUAGAGAUUCUCAUCCUGAGUGAAGUAAGUCAGAAAGAGAAAGACAAAUACCAUAUGAUAUCACUUAUAUCUGGAACAUAAUAUAUGGCACAAAGGAAACUUUCCACAGAAAAGAAAAUCAUGGACUUGGAGAAUAGACUUGUGGUUGCCAAGAGGGAAGAGGAGGAAGUGGGAGGGAGUGGGAGCUUGGGGUAAAAAGAUGCAGAAUGUUGCCUUUGGGAUGCAUUAGCAAUGGGAUCCUGCUGUGUAGCACUGGGAACUCUGUCUAGUCACUUAAUGAUGGAACAUGUAAUGUGAGAAAAAAGAAUGUACACAUGUAAGUGUUAACUGGGUCACCAUGCUGUACAGUAGGAAAAAAAAAUAUAUAUAUAUAAAUAAAUGAUAAUUAAAAAAAGCUUAUGAGCAGGAAAGGAUGCAGUAAACAGUAGGCACUCAAUAAAGGUUUGUUUAGUUCCUUCCUGGCUGUCUUUCACCCAUCAGACUGAGUGUCCCGCCUGCACAUGGGAGCGGGCAUUUUCAUCAACAUUUGUCCACAGCCUCUCUGUGGGCUAAAUACUAAACAAAUCAGCUUAAAAAAAAAAAAUACCACCUCCAUUUAUUUUGCAAAAGACUUGCUGACAAGACACCCAGCAGCAUCUGAAAUUUCAUCUAGACAAAGAGGGGAGGGACAAGGGAAGCCAGGAGCUCUAUUUUCCCACCCCAAGGGUUCGCCCUGCACCUCUCCAGCACUCACACAGGCACACGCUUCAGAGAACAUGUGCGCCACUGCGAUAAGGAGGCUUUCAAACGCCGCAAUUCAUCACCCUGGCCCCGGAUGGAAGGAGAGUGUGUGUGUGUGCAUGCGAGCGUGUGUGCGUGCACAAGUGUCACACUCCCGCAUGCACGCCCACCCCCGAGGGCCUUUGUAGCUCUAUCGAAAAGGGAGUGAAGGCACAGAGCUUACAAAGGGGAAGGAAGAGGCAGGGAAGUGAAGAAAAGCACCCGCUCUGGCUGCCUCCCUUUGGUUUGGGCUGCUCCAUCCCAGUCAGUUAACCAGUUAACAAUAUGAUAAAGGAUGGCAGAGGAGAGAAGCUUCCAGCUUCUGGCCCUGAUGCAGAAGGAAACAAACAUUCAUCAUAGCAAUCCCCGAGGGAGCUGGGGUUGUGCCCUAAUGUGUUGUAGUGAGGGAUUCAUGAAGUCUGCAGAGGUGGCUGGGAAUUCUAAGCCCCCUUCUCCAAAUCCUCCAGGACCCUGCUAACCCCAGCUGGUCAGAGCCAGUCUCGCCAGGCACACAUGUGGGCACACACACCACGCACACUCUCCAGCCCAACUUAGGUUUCCACUCCCAGACCCAACCCCUCCCUUUUGGAAGGUUUCUUGGGAAAAUGGGAGUUCCAUGAAUCCACAUUUGUGGAGAUGUACUUUGUACCAGGCACUUCCAUUAGGUUACUUAGUUUAAGCCUCACAAGAAUACUGUGCAAAUAUUUUUCUGGUCAUUAUUCCAUUCGUACAGAUGCUGAAAACUAAGAAGCAGAGCAGUUAUGUGGUUUUGGUUUUGGUUUCCAGGCACACACACAGCUGGCUAAGUGGUGAAGGGAGAAUUCAAAUCUACAAUUUUGGGGGUGACACCCAAAGUAGUAUGUUUUCCUUUUACAGCACAGCUGGCAUCCCCUUUCUGCCACAGAUUCCAGGAUCCUCUAUGAUACAGGAGUUCUGGGGAAGGCCUAGGAACCUGCAUUUUACUGCAGGUUUUUUUUCUUUCUCUUGCUUUAACAGCUGUAUUGAGGGGUAACUGAACUAUGAUAAACUGCAUAUGUUUACAAUGAACAAUUAGAUAAGUUUUGACAUACAUAUUCACUCUUGAAACCAUCACCACAAUCAUGAUAUCUAGCCCAUAACAGUUUCCUUUUUGUUUUUUGGGUUUUCAGGGUUGUUUUCUUUGUUCGUUUUUGUCUUUUUUCUUUUUUUAGGGCCACGCUCGCGGCAUAAUGGAGGUUUCCAGACUAGAGGUCAAAUCAGAGCUGUAGCUGCUGGCCUACACCACAGCCACAGCAACUCAGGAUCCAAGCCUCAUCUGGGAUCUACAACACCUCUCACGGCAAAGCUGGAUCCUUAACCCACUGAACGAGGCCAGGGCUCAAACCCGAGUCCUCAUGGAUACUAGUCGGGUUCAUUAACCACUGAGCCAUGACGGGAACUCCAACUGUUUCCUCUUUGUAAUCCUUCUCUCCCACCUUCCCCACCCAUCUCCAGGUCAUCACAGACAUACCUUUUGUCACUAUAGAUUCGUUUGCAUUUUGGGGAGUUUCAUAUUUUUAGAAUCAUACAAAAUGGGCUCUUUUUUAUCUGGCUUCUGUCACUUAGCAUAAUUAUCUUGAGAUUCAUCCACGUUGUGUGUAUCAAUGCAUCCUUUUUAUUGCUGAGUAAAUUCUAUCCUAAGGCUAUGUCACAAUUUGUUUACCCAUUCACCUGUUAGGGAACAUUUAGGUUGUUUCCAGUUUGAAGCUCUUACAAAUAAAGCUUCUAUGAGCAUUAGCAUUCAAAGUCUCAAACCUUAAUAAUAAGAAAAUGAACAAUCCAAUUUAAAAAUUGGGAAAAAAUUUGAAUAGUCACUUAACCAAAAAGACAUACAGAUGGCAAAUAAUCAAACGAAAAGAUGCUGAACACCCUUAGUGAUUAGGGAAAUUCAAAUUAAAACCACAAUGAGAUAUCACUACAUACCUAUUGGAAUGUCAAAAAUUAAGAAGGCCAAUCACUUAACAUGAUAGUCUCUAGGUCCAUCCAUGUUGCUGCAAAUGGCAUUAUUUAAUUCCUUUUUAUGACUAAGUAAUAUUCCAUUGGAUGUAUAUGUGUGUGUGUGUGUGUGUAUCUUCUUUAUUAAUUCAUCUGUUGUUAUCAUACUAAGUGAAAUAAGCUAGACAAAGACAAAUAUAUGAUAUCACUUACAUGUGGAAUCUGAAAAAAAAGAUACAAAUGAACUUAUUUAUAGAACAGAAAUAGACCCACAGAAAUAUAAAACAAAUUUAUGGUUACCAAAGGGGAAGGGGGGGAGAGAGAUAAAUUAGGGGGAUGGAAUUAACAUAUACUCAAUACCAUAUAUAAAAUAGAUAACCACCAAAGACUUAUUGUAUAGCACUUGGAACGAAACUUAAUAUUCUGUAAUAACCUAUAAGGGAAAAGAAUCUGAAAAAAAAAUAUAUAUAUGUACUGAAUCUCUUUACUGUACACCUGAAACUAACACAACAUUGUGAAUCAACUUACCUCAAUUUUUUUAGAAAAGGCCAAUUAUUCCGCGUGUUGGUGAGGAUGUGGAGUGACCUGAAUACUCAUACACUGCUAUGCUGAUGGUAAUAUAAACUGAUACAGCCACUUUGGAAAGCAAGUUGGCAUCUUUUUAAAGAAUUAAAAACACCUACCAUAUGAUCCAGCCACUUCACUCAUAGGUAAGAGGGAAAAAAGCAUACGUCUACACACACACCUGUUCAAUGAAUGUUCAGAGAUGUUUUAUUUACCGUAAUAAGAAUCUGUGUUUGUAAAAGCCCUCCAGCUGAUUCUGAGCGUAAGUCAGGUUUGGAAACCACUGAGCUGCAGGAUUUGGUUAUGUAUGAUUGCUCUAGAAAACCCUCUUAUUCUUCAAAUAACUAUCUUUUUUUCUUUUUUUUUUUUUGUCUUUAUGUCUUUUUAGGGCUGCACCCAUGGCAUAAGGAGGUUCCCAGGCUAGGGGUCAAAUCGGAGCUACAGCCACAGCAAUGCAGGAUCUGAGCCGUGUUUGCGACCUACACCACAGUUCACGACAACACCAGAUCCUUAACCCACUGAACGAGGCCAGGGAUCAAACUCGCAACCUCAUGAUUCCCAGUUGGAUUCGCUUCCACUGCACCACGACGGAAACUAAGAAUGUAACUAUCUAAAUGGAAGAAAUGGUUGAAUUAAGAAGUUAACUAGUUAGUGAAGGAAUGCCGUUGAAUGGGCCUGUGAGAUGUUGGGCAAGUCGGUUAAUUUAUUUAACUCUCUGUUGUAUUCAUAAAAACCACAAGAGGCAGUGUUAAUGACUCUCAGCCUCUGAGUCUGUACAUCUGUCAUCUCAGACUUCCACAUGGCACCUC
rnacentral:lncRNA from 1 species